GACGAACGCUGGCGGCGUGCCUAAUACAUGCAAGUAGAACGCACAGUUUAUACCGUAGCUUGCUACACCAUAGACUGUGAGUUGCGAACGGGUGAGUAACGCGUAGGUAACCUGCCUGGUAGCGGGGGAUAACUAUUGGAAACGAUAGCUAAUACCGCAUAAUAUUGAUUAUUGCAUGAUAAUUAAUUGAAAGGUGCAAUUGCACCACUACCAGAUGGACCUGCGUUGUAUUAGCUAGUAGGUGAGGUAACGGCUCACCUAGGCGACGAUACAUAGCCGACCUGAGAGGGUGGUCGGCCACCCUGGGACUGAGACACGGCCCAGACUCCUUCGGGAGGCAGCAGUAGGGCAUCUUCGGCAAUGGACGGAAGUCUGACCGAGCAACGCCGCGUGAGUGAAGAAGGGUUUCGGAUCGGAAAGCUCGGUUGUCAGGGAAGAACGGGUGUGAGAGUGGAAAGUUCACACUGUGACGGUAUCUUACCAGAAAGGGACGGCUAACUACGUG
rnacentral:rRNA from 1 species